rnacentral:rRNA from 2 species
ACUAACCGUGGCUACGUGUAACUGCCUGCAUGUACCAUACGAAUAAGCAUCGGCUAACUCCGUGCCAGCAGCCGCGGUAAUACGGAGGAUGCGAGCGUUAUCCGGAAUUAUUGGGUUUAAAGGGUGCGUAGGCUGACAAGUAAGUCAGUGGUGAAAUACCCCGGCUUAACCGGGGGGUUGCCAUUGAAACUGUUUGUCUUGAGUGUAAUCGAAGUGGGCGGAAUGAGGUGUGUAGCGGUGAAAUGCAUAGAUAUACCUCAGAACACCGAUAGCGAAGGCAGCUCACUAGCUUACAACUGACGCUGAGGCACGAAAGCGUGGGUAUCAAACAGGAUUAGAUACCCUGGUAGUCCACGCAGUAAACGAUGAUCACUAGCUGUAUGCGAUACACAGUAUGUGGCUAAGCGAAAGCGAUAAGUGAUCCACCUGGGGAGUACGUCGGCAACGAUGAAACUCAAAGGAAUUGACGGGGGCCCGCACAAGCGGAGGAGCAUGUGGUUUAAUUCGAUGAUACGCGAGGAACCUUACCUGGGCUUGAACGUAUGGUGCAUGGCGGUGAAAGUCGCCUUUCCCUUGGGACUCCAUACGAGGUGCUGCAUGGCUGUCGUCAGCUCGUGCCGUGAGGUGUUAGGUUAAGUCCUGCAACGAGCGCAACCCCUGUUUCCAGUUGCCAACACAUAAAGGUGGGGACUCUGGAGAGACUGCCUGCGCAAGCAGAGAGGAAGGUGGGGAUGACGUCAAGUCAGCACGG